ensembl:lncRNA
AAGGAAUCGACCUGUAUUAUUCUCAUUCAGAGGGCUAAAUCUUGCUAUGUGUUAUAAUUUUUUAGCAAAAAAUGAGGUAUUUUCAUGCAUCAGUGUUUGGGAAAGUCUCCUUUGGAUGUUUUGGUUGCAUAUUUGAAUCAACCCCUAUUAACUGAGGGCUCACUUACCUGAGUAAGGCAGAGAGGGAAGCCAAAAAAAAAAAAAAAAAUCACAAAGACCUCUGCCCUCCAGGAGUUUUCAGACUCUGAGGAGCCAAGCUGUUUACCCCAACAGACUCAGGACCACUCCAAGACAGGGUCUGUGUUUAUGCAGCUUUGAUUCCCAGCACCUCACGGUGCCUGGCACCUGUUAGGGAUUUCAAUGAGCAGUGAUUGAAUGAAGAAAUGGCACAUAAAGUAGGAGAGUAGUAAUCUAUGCUAAGUGCCCAGUGAGGGAUGACUUUUGGAGAUGCUCUAGAAGAAGGAAUCAAUCUGUGUGGUGAUCGGAGAUGGCUUCCCAGAGUAUUUGAGCUAGUUCUUGCAGGAGGAAAAGAUUAAAAGAACUGAUGGGGCAUGUUCCCUGGAGCUGGGAAGUGAUGGACAAAACUGAGACUCAACCAAUCCGAGCUUGAGAGAGGGGGAUAAAAAAAUUGGAAACCCCCUGAACAGCAAAGGCUCAUGUAAAUGAAGACUGUGUGUUCUUUCAAGGAAGGCUGAGUUUACAAACAGAAUCCUUAAGACAAACAGGCCUGCUGGAGCCAUUGUGGGUGGGUGCCUGUGAAUUCCAGCUGAAGAGCAUGUUGGCCCCUGAGAGCACCAGGAAGCUCCUCCCAGAGACUGUGCUCUGCUUUCAGACAUGGUUUCUUACAGGGCAUUCUCAGUCCGUCUCAGAAGAGAUGCUUAGCACUCUCCAGGAAUGAAUACGCAUAAGGAGGACUUGGUCUUCUCUGGAUGGAACCUUGUUUAUUCAAUUCCAUACUCCACAUGGGGCUUGAGAGACUGUGAGAAGGGAUGCGAGGGGCGUGGGGCUACCAAUAAGUGGGACCUUAGUACCAGAAGCAGCGCUUUCGAGAACCUCCUAACGCAGCCAACUUCCUGGUGUGGUAACACCUGCGUUUUCAGAGCAGAGAAAAUACAGCAGCCCUACAUGUGGUUAACUGGAUACGAUCAGGACACUUCAGCUUUCAAAACCAAGUUGGACCCCAGGAACAUGCUUUUAUUUGACCUGUUCAUCGUCAUCGAUUGUCCUCUGGCUGCAGGCCUCUCUACUGCUGGGAGUCGGCUCUCGGCACGCCAAUCAGUGCACUCACUGGCAAGGAGUUUUACUUCUCAGUUAGCGCAGUUCAGCAGUGGCUGGCAGAUGCUGGCAGUGGAAUGCCACCAUGCGUGUAAGUGAUGCAGCUGCUGCCCCCACUCCUAAGGAACAGAGCCAUAGAGAGCCUCGCCUGGUCCCAGAGCUGUCCUUCUCACACUGUAUAUAGAGGAGCUGUGGACCACGGAGGCCAGUGAAGACCUUUCUCUCUUUCUUUAGACUUGGGGUUUUUAAAAUUAUUUUUAUUUUUUAAUUUUCUUAUGGAAGAUUCACCCUGAGUGAACAUCAGUGCCAAUCUUCCUCUACUUUUUAGUAUGUGGGCUGCCAGCACAGCAUGGCCACUAACAGAGUGGUGUAGGUCUGCGCCCAGGAACUGAACCCGAGCCACCAAAAAAAGCAGAGCGUGCUGAACUUAACCACUGGGCUACCCAGGCUGGCCCUUGAUCUGGGAUUUUAUAAAAGACACACCUGCCAAUUGUGGAAAGCUCAAUAGCCUGAAUGUGCCUCAAUCAAUUACCUCGCGAAGAUGCAGUACUUCAUCAUUUAUGACGCUUGUCACGACCAUCAUCGCUGUCCUUGAGUAUUAAUAUAAUGAGAGCAGUAUUAAGAAAGAGUUGAUGAGCACUGGAGCCACAUUUAUACUGCCUUGUUUUGUGACAGUUGAACAGGCUCUCUAAAGGGACAAUGGAGGAAUAAUAUGGCCCCAGAUGAUCCUGUCUGUCCUCUGUCCCUGAACGGUCAUUUUAGUAAGUUAAUUUACAAAAUGGCCAUUUGACAAAAUUUUAAACAAAAUAGUUGUAAUUUAAAGGCAUGCCUGAAAUUUGGGCUAUAGAUGGAGUCAAGUUUUUACUUCCAACGAUUCUGCGUAUGUUAGUUUUGCUUACAGUAAACACUCAAAAGAUUUUAUUAAGUGAAUGAUGUACUAAAUAUUGACUGACUAUUUGACUUUGCUCCUUGUAGGGUUGAUGCAAGGUAGACGUAAUACAAAACUCGAGCUCAGUCUUCUUAAUGUGGUGAAAAUGGCCAUUCUGUUAUUUCCAAUUUGCCAAGCGUGUUUUAUGGGCACACAGUGGGGUACACUCUGUUGGCUGUAUGUAAAAACCAUAUUUUGUUAAUUAGAGGCCUAUAAUAAACCACUCAUUUUUAUGGCAUGUGAGUCCACUUGAUUCAGAAAGCUUGGCAUCUGGCUCUGAUUAUGUCUCCUGGUGUGGCUGUGGGACUUCCUUCAUGCCUCUUCCCUCACCUGUUUGGGGAGAGUUAGGAUGGAAACUUGACUUCUGCAGAGAAAAGGUGAAAAGGGAGAUUUUGAUCAUUUUAAACAUGGUUAUACGGGAUGAACACAGCAAGAUGGACAAAUCUGCACGGCAUCAGGACCCUGUGGAAGAUUUUCAGGGCUUGCAAGAUUUGACUAUUUCUUUUUUUUUCUAUUUGUGGAAAAUAUCAAACUAUAAGCUACCUCAAAUUCUUUAUGGAAUGAGGCAGAGUAUAAAUAAAAUAUACUAUGUGUACAG